UUUCUGUGUGUGAUUAAGUGAAAAUUCAGAUGUAGGGAGUCAGGGUGUUCCAGUUAAUCAACUAUUGGGUUUGAAUCUUGGCCGAUCUGGCCUUGCUCUUGUAUUUCCCUUGGUACUGUGUUAACUUUCUGUGUAUGAUCUGGCCCAUACUCUGACCUUGCCUCUGCCUCGUGCCUGGUUACUGGUUCUGUCCUCUAGUAAAGGACCCGGCCCGCAGCUCCCACUACAAUCAAAGCCUGUCCUGGGUAUCCUUUUGCUUCAUUUCAAUUUUGUCUGAUGUGAUGCCAAAAGGAGAUGAACCAAUGAAAAUGGAGACUGCCAAGAAAGAUGCCCCACAAUGCGUAUCUGGGGGCUGACGAAUGUAAAGCCAGGCACUUGCCUGGGAGCUAAUGAUAUACAAUGCCCAAUGUUACUAUCACAGGAGAAAAGAAGAACACUUGUGUCUCAAUACACCUGAAAACAAAUUUAGUUUAGCAAAAACAUCAAAACAUUACAAAUGACCAUAUUAGUAAGAUUCGGAGAAAUGCCCAAAUUUACUUAGUUCAUAUAUCAGCAGAAUAUAUUGAAGUCUGUAGAGCAAUGACAGGCAGUGACGAAUGGUGACAGCUUUAUAAACUUCCGUCACAGGGGGAUGAGGCUGUCGGAAAAUAACCUGAUCUGUCAUUUCUGCAGCAUUUUACCUUUCAUGCAAAGAAUAAACAAAUAAAGAAUUCUUGACUAAAACGAAUGUAUUCAGUCAACAAACUA